AUCCCCUUGGUGUAGUGGUAGCGCGGCGGAUUCCAAACCCGCAGGCGGGGGUUCGAUUCCUCCAGGGGGUGCCA
rnacentral:tRNA from 1 species